GACGAACGCUGGCGGCGUGCUUAACACAUGCAAGUCGAACGGAAAGGCCCUGCUUUUGUGGGGUGCUCGAGUGGCGAACGGGUGAGUAACACGUGAGUAACCUGCCCUUGACUUUGGGAUAACUUCAGGAAACUGGGGCUAAUACCGGAUAGGAGCUCCUGCUGCAUGGUGGGGGUUGGAAAGUUUCGGCGGUUGGGGAUGGACUCGCGGCUUAUCAGCUUGUUGGUGGGGUAGUGGCUUACCAAGGCUUUGACGGGUAGCCGGCCUGAGAGGGUGACCGGCCACAUUGGGUCUGGGAGGCGGCCCAGACUCCUACGGGAGGCAGCAGUGGGGAAUAUUGCACCAUGGGCGGGAGCCUGAUGCAGCACCGCCGCGUGCGGGAUGACGGCCUUCGGGUUGUAAACCGCUUUCGCCUGUGACGAAGCGUGAGUCACGGUAAUGAGUAAAGACGCACCGGCUCACUGCG
rnacentral:rRNA from 1 species